UAAAGGACGGCUUAUUCAUGUCUCUCACGGAGAUUGCUCUACGCCUCCUAACCUCACCUCCUCGCAUCUCCAUCUCUCUCCUCCUUAAACCAGCCCCUCUCUCCUCCUCUGCCGUCAUUGAUCUUGUAGCGUCUAUGGAAACGGUGUCGCGACGGUGGCAUUGUGGGCGAUAGAUGUCGGUGCUUGUGGCUCUGUAAUUCCAAGAUUAGGGUUUCUAUUUUGGUUUAUUCGGACAAGCAAAUGGUUGCCAAAUUAAUGAAUGCGAUUCGGUAUUCUCGCUAUGGCGGUGGAACUACUGCUUUAAAGCGUGUUAAGAUUGAUGUUCCUGAUCCAAAGGCCGAUGAGGUUUUGCUAAAGGUUGAGGUUGUAUCUUUAAACGCAUUUGAUUGGAAGAUACAAAAGGGCGUAUCUCGUCCCAUAUUACCCAGAAAGUUCCCUUAUGUACCAGUUUUCUGAGCAUGAGGUUCGGUAUGGAUGGAAGGCAUCCCAUCUCCUUUCUUCAUCUGAUACAUUACUUGAUAAUAUAACUGCAGUUCUUGUAUAUAUCUUGAAAUAUUAAGUUGUUUUGUUCUUCAACCUUCCCCUUUUCCUUUGAGAAACCUGUGGAUGGGGUACUUAUUAUUUUAGUGGCGUCCUUUUCAAGAAGUUAUUAUUGUACUAAAGGUAUAUUAUUUUAGUGGCGUCAGCUAUACUAAAGAUCAUAUACAUAAUUGUCCAUGCUUUUAGUAGAAGCAGUCUUUAAUUGCAUCGUUUUCUGACAAAUCUCAUCCUUUAACUAGAUCAUUUAAGUAUAGAAGUAGUUUAGUGGUCUGAAAAUUUUGGAGUCUGGUGUUCCCGUGAUGACUGUCCUGCUUAUACUUCUACUGCUGUUGACUGUCCUGCUUCUUGUCCUGCAACUCUGUUUGUUGAUCGAGCUUCAUAAAUCAGACUAGUUCCUGUAAGUUAUAUAUAGGAAUGCAUCAGAUAGGAGAGAGUAGCAUAGGCAGACUGUGACUGAGUACUCAAGAUCUAAAUCUGAUAUAGUAAUCUGAUUUAGUAAUCUGGCCAUACUAAAUCUGAUUUCUAACCAUAUAAUCUGACCAUAUAAUCUGAUCAGUUAGUUACACAUAAUCUGAUUAGUUAGUUACACAUAAUCUGGUUGGUAUGAGAAGUAUGUAUAGAAAAGGCAGACAUCAUAUGGACUAACAAUGAUAGACAACCCCCUAAUGAAUGACCUGUAAAUUGAAAUUUUGCAUCUUCUCCAUGGGAAUCUAUAUGGUUUUGGAUUUCUGGCAUUAAUUGCUCGUAUAUUUCCUUUGCUGCUUCAUAAAUCCCUCGAUGAACAGCUACAUGUUUUUCAUGUGUUUGUUGCUAGUGUUUAGAAAGGUUUUACAAGCUAGCACCUCUAAAUAAAUCUCAAAAUUAAGAGUUGAACUAGAUCGAAUAGGUUGCUUUUACCUCGAAUUUUGCUGGCUCAUAAAAAAGGUUUGUUUGCCAAGAAGCCAUUGACUCAGACUCCUGCAAUAGUGCAGUAAGUUUAAACAAAUAAGGUCAUGUUUUAAGAGAAAAUACUAGGCUUACUCUUUUGUCGAGGAACUUUACCAGAUCCUUGGUUUCUGAGCUUCUGCUUACCCCAAAAUAUACAGCAGAAUCGUACAAUAAUAGCCAAGACAACCAAGAUAAUGGUUUCAAACAGCAAGAAUAGAACUAUGGCUCUUUCGUUUCCUAGACAAAGAAAGAAUUAGUAUCUCAAA